rnacentral:rRNA from 1 species
GACGAACGCUGGCGGCGUGCCUAAUACAUGCAAGUAGAACGCUGAAGGAGGAGCUUGCGCUUCUGGAUGAGUUGCGAACGGGUGAGUAACGCGUAGGUAACCUGCCUGGUAGCGGGGGAUAACUAUUGGAAACGAUAGCUAAUACCGCAUAAGAGUAGAUGUUGCAUGACAUUUACUUAAAAGGUGCAAUUGCAUCACUACCAGAUGGACCUGCGUUGUAUUAGCUAGUUGGUGGGGUAACGGCUUACCAAGGCGACGAUACAUAGCCGACGGGAGAGGGGGAUCGGCCACACUGGGACUGAGACGCAGCCCAGACUCCUACGGGAGGCAGCAGUAGGGAAUCCUCGGCAAUGGACGGAAGUCUGACCGAGCAACGCGGCGUGAGUGAAGAAGGUUUUCGGAUCGUAAAGCUCUGUUGUAAGAGAAGAACGAGUGUGAGAGUGGAAAGUUCACACUGUGACGGUAUCUUACCAGAAAGGGACGGCUAACUACGUG